rnacentral:rRNA from 1 species
ACUCAAAGGAAUAGACGGGGACCUGCACAAGCGGUGGAGCGUGUGGUUUAAUUCGACAGUAAGCGAAGAACCUUACCCAGACUUGACAUCUCUAGAAGUCCCUGGAAACAGGGAUGUGCCGCAAGGAACUAGAAGACAGGUGCUGCACGGUUGUCGUCAGCUCGUGCUGUGAAGUGUCCCGUUCAGUCGGUUAACGAGCGCAACCCCUACCCUGUGUUGAAUUUCUCACGGGGAACUGCCCAGGUUAACUGGGAGGAAGGUGGGGACGACGUCAAAUCAGCGUGGCUCUUACGUCUGGGGCUACACACGCGCUACAAUGGGGAGUAACAAUGGGUUGCCAAGCCGCGAGGCGGAGCUAAUCCCACCAAACCUCCCCCCAGUUCGGAUCGAGGGCUGCAACUCGCCCCCGUGAAGUCGGAAUCGCUAGUAACGGCCGGUCAGCCAUACGGCCGUGAAUACGUUCUCAGGUCUUGUACACACCGCCCGU